UACGAAGGGGGCUAGCGUUGUUCGGAAUUACUGGGCGUAAAGGGCGCGUAGGCGGUUUGAUUAGUCAGAUGUGAAAUUCCCGGGCUUAACCUGGGCGCUGCAUUUGAUACUGUCAGGCUUGAAUUCGGGAGAGGAUAGUGGAAUUCCCAGUGUAGAGGUGAAAUUCGUAGAUAUUGGGAAGAACACCAGUGGCGAAGGCGACUAUCUGGACCGACAUUGACGCUGAGGCGCGAAAGCGUGGGGAGCAAACAGG
rnacentral:rRNA from 1 species